UCUCACCUUGAUGAUGAUGCACUGAGCCUC
rnacentral:piRNA from 1 species